ensembl:lncRNA
UUUUAUUUUUAUAAGAUCUUAAACAAGAAUAAAUACGUUUGUUGUGAGCUCAUAGUGCGACUGCACGAGAAGCCGCGGCGUCUCGCGCUGUCAAAAGAGCUGAUGCAAAUCGUUCAUUUUCAAACGUCAACAGCCCAAAAACACCCACUUUUAGCUCUUGGUUUGUUCUAAUGGGUGGAUUGUGUGCAAUUGCUGUAAUAUUUUAUUUUUAAAAGGUCUUAAACAAGAAUAAAUUCGUUUCUUGCGAGCUCGUUGUGUCACUGCACGAGAAGCCGCGCCGUCUCGCGCUGUCAAAAGAGCUGAUGCAACGCGCUGUCAAAAGAGCUGAUGCAAAUCGUUCAUUUUCAAACUUCAACAGCUGAAAAACACCCACUUUUAGCUCUUGGUUUGUUCUAAUGGGUGGAUUGUGUGCAAUCGCUGUAAUAUUUUAUUUUUAUAAAGGUCUUAAACAGGAAUAAAUUCGUUUCUUGUGAGCUCGUAGUGCGAGUGCAGGAGAAGCCGCGCGGGCUCGCGCUGUCAAAAGAGCUGACGCAAAUCGUUCAUUUUAAAACUUCAACAGCUCAAAAACACCCUCUUUUAGCUCUUGGUUUGUUCUAAUGGGUGGAUUGUGUGCAAUCGCUGUAAUAUUUUAUUUUCAAAAGGUCUUAAACAAGAAUAAAUUCGUUUGUUGUGAGCCCGCUGUGAGACCACUCGCUGAACGGAGCGGUGAAUUCUCUCUCGUCUUUCUCUCUGUUCUGUGGCCAGAUAUACAUUUUUAAUAAGCCCUGACCCCUGUAAUAUUCAAAUAUGUUGGUUUAGCUUGUCAGAGUGAAAUAAAUUCAUGUAUUUAUAUGUAUUUUUAACCGAUUUAAAAGUGAAACUAAGGCAGACUCCUCCCUCAGUCCCGGGAAUUGCUCCUGUAGAGGCGCAAUUUUUCUCAGAUAAUGGGAGUCUAUGGGAGAUUUCUGAUUUAUAAAAAUUAAUAAUAAAUAAACUGUAAGUCUGAUCAGUCUAAAAAGAUAUAGCAACCAGCACCGCUAUAUCCCGCAGGUGUAUGCCGAGUUUGGGGCUUGUGGCUUAAAAGCCCUAGGAGGAGAUACGUUUGGAAUUCUGUGUCAGAAGAAUAAUAAUAAUAAAAAUAAAAAUAAAAAUAAAAAUAAAAAAAAAAUAAGUUUAAAUAGCAUAACAGUAUGUUGGCUUGUUGCCAAGCCAACAUAACUAGAAUAAGAAUAAUAAAAAUAAAAAUAAAAAUAAAAAUAAGUUUAAAUAGCAUAACAGUAUGUUGGCUUGUUGCCAAGCCAACAUAACUAGAAUGUAAAGUUAGUGAACUAACUUUGAUGUUGGCUUGGCCUUGGGCCAAAAGAGCCACUGUACUUGUGUGUCCAACCUUCUUGAGCUGC